rnacentral:lncRNA from 1 species
CGGGCGGACACCUGCCCUUGCUGUGGUGCCGUCCGGGGCGGGGCGGGCCCAGCCGGCCUGGAGUCCAGGUCUGGGAGGCCCAGGCGCCGCCCACGGCCUCCCACCCGGCCCCACUCGCUGGCCCAGCGUCCGCCUCCUGCCGAGGUGCUGCCCUGCCGGCGUUUGUUCACCAGAGUCCAGGGUCCCGUGGCCGUCAGGGUCACUGUCCCUUGUUUGUUUUGCUUUGGGGAGACAAGGUCUCAUUCUGUGUCCGUCUGACUUGAUCCUCCUGCUUCAGCCUCCUGAGCAUGGGGGCCAGGGGGCCACUGUGGACAGGACCCGACAAGUGUGGUCUGACAUGGUGUCCGAGGGUCGGUGCAGCUGCCGGGAGACUGCGGGUGUCACUGCGAGAGAGAGAGAGAGAGAGAGAGAGAGAGAGAGAGAGAGAGAGAGAGAGAGAGAGAGAGUGUGUGUGUGUGUGUGUGUGUGUGUGUGUGCUCGUGCGCGUCCCAGAGGAGAGGCUGCCUGUCACCGGCUGUGCCCUGUUCCUGUUGGGAAGAUGGGGCGCUUGGGAGGGGGCACAGCGAGCUGCCUCGGGGUGCUCAACCCCUCGAAACCGAGGCUCAGGCCCAAACCGCCAGUGUGCAGCCCGGCCCUCCAGCGUGUGUAGAGAAUCUGCUGCUUUCUCUCCUCCUUUUGCAGUUUUGUUUUGUUUUGUUUUGUUUUGUUUUGUUGAGUCAGGGUCGCGCUGUGUAGCCCAGGCUGGCCCUGAACUCGAAGUGAUCCUCCUGCCUCCGCCUCCUGAGUGCAGGGAUGACAGGCCUGGGCCCCCACACCCGGCUCAGUGCUGGGCUUCUGACAGCCUUUGGUGCUGAGUCCUGGUCUCUGGACUUGAGCCACUCUGGCGGGUCUUUCUGGGCACCUCGGAGCCCCUCAGUGCUGUGCCCUGAGCACCCCGCUCUCUCUCUGAACCCCAGGAGGCAGCCGGCUUGGCUCGGGGCGCGGGGCGGGGGGCGGGGCGGCUCCAGCCCUCAGCCCUUCUGGGAGUAGUUAGGCGUUCGCUCAUCUGGAACAAGGAAUCACAACUACUGGGAUGAGUUUUCUUCCUGUUUAGUUUGAUUUUUAAUUUUCUUCCUUUUUUUCUUUUUUUAUCAUUUGGCGUUUUGAGACGAGGAAUCACUGUGUAGCCCAGGCUGGCCUCGACCUCACAGCGAUCCUCCCGCCUCAGCCACCAGGCAUGCGCCCCCACGCCCUGCGGGAAUCCUGGACCCCACGAGCACCUGCCCAUUUCGGCGGGGCCCUCGCGUCCCCCAGAACAGCCCGGGCCGGUGGUGCGGCUGCUGUACCUGUCCCACAGGCGAUGGAGCUGGCUUGGUGUUGGCUUCAUCCCCGGGAGGGUUGGUUGGCGGCCACAGGGUGCUCGCUUCUGCUCAGACUGCUCAGCAGCCGGGACAGCGAAGGCCCUGGGAGCCCGGCUCCAGCCCCGCUGUGCUGUCCGCACUUCUGUCUGGCCCGGUGUCCUGCUCCGUGCUGCAGACUGAAGCACAGUGGGAUUCACUCAGAGAUCCAUGGACUCUGACUCUACACCCCGAUUUCAUCUGCACAGAAAGAAAGCGGCACCCCAGUGGUCUCAGUGCUCGGGAGGCUGAGGCGGGAGGAUCGCUGUGAGUCUGAGGCCAGUUGGACCCUACCUCAGAAAACUACAAAUAAGUGUUUACGUAUGUUCGUGCACCCUAAAAGCUCAGUAUUUGUUGGUGUAACGGUUAAACCCUGCUGACUGUGCCUUUAACUCUGAAAAUCGUGCACUGCAGCCUGGAGAACUGCUCCUGACCGGCAUCACUGCUCUCCAGGACCUCAGUGUCCAGCCCAGGGGCCACCCGGCCGCGCCUCUGCCUGGGGAGUUGAGGCCUGCGGUGGACUCGAAGUGUAGACUGGCUGGCUAGUGUUCAGCACAGUGUUCACAAGAGCGCCUGAAACCCCCAGGUUCGGGGCCAGUGACUUUAGUCUCUAAAACAAGUUUUGGUUUGUUUUUUUUGUACUGGGAUGGAACCCGGGGCUUGUCAUGGAGCUACAUCCCCAGCCCUUUGGAUUUUUAAUUUCAGACUCGAAUGCGCUAAGGGAUAAGUUGCCUGGUUGGGUUUGAACUGAGUUCCUCCUGCCUCAGGCUCCCCAGGGCCGGGAUUACUGGUGUUCUCACUUCUGCACAUCUGCACGUUGCGCGUGAGUGUGUCGGACUGUUCAGACCCCAGAGAGCUUUCCCAGUGCAGCACACUCAGCAAGCAGGGCUCCGUUUCAUGGGUGAAGAAAGCCUUGUUGUCUUAAAUGAUCAUAGAACUAAAAUCUCUUUUGGGGGAGGCAUGGAGCUUUUUUUAUUUCUUAAUUUAAAUUUUUGAAACAGGGUCUCGUUAUGUUGCUAAGUCCCCCAGGCUUGUCUAGAACUUGCGAUCCUCCUACCUCAGCCUCCCAGAGAGCCGGGAUGACAGGCCUGCAUCCCCACAUCCAUCUUAAAAUCUCUCCUUUAAAAUCUGUCAUCUUCCCACGAAGUUCUCUGGCUUUCUGAUUUCUUUUUCGGAUGCCCUGGCUCAGACCAGGGCCUCUUGCACACCUCAACAUGUGCGCUACCUCCAGGCUGCACCCCAGUCCUGGCCUUUGUGUUGAGCACUGCAAAACUGUUUCAGAAACUGUAGAUGCUGUCCUAGGUUUUGCCUCUGAGCUGCUGUGAAAGCGGCCUAAAGCAGAUCGGCCAUGCCCGGCCUGUUUAGACAGCCGAGUGGCUCGGAUACACUGGCGCGUGCUCCACCGUCACUUUCAAGAAGACCUCUGCGGUGUUUCCCGGUCACGCAUUGGUGUCUCCCUGGCUGUGGAUGAAUGGCCUGACCAGGCGCUCGCGGUCCGUGGCGCUGCUCAUGGUGGCGCCUCAUCAGAAACCACCGUCUCCGAGGUUUCUGAGGCAGCGAGUUCGAGGCCUGGGCGAGGCCUGGGUGGCCGGUCGAAGCCCGCCGCCUCCCUGGGUUCGCUCCAGGGCUCCGAGUUUGGCCUUGGCACCGCCAGCUGAGGUGACCCUGGCUUGAUUUGUUUUACUUCUUUAUGGUGUCUUGAGACAAGGCCGGCUCUGUAGCCCAGGCUGGCCUUCCUCCAAGGGAUUGUCCUGCCUCAGCCUCCCGUGCGGGGCCUGCAGGCGUGUGUCCCCUGCCUGGCUCCUUGUUGCUGUUGUUCAGCAGGAGGGAAUUCCCUUGCCAAAGGGCAGUCAUUCCUCACGGUGGUCGUCCUGGUGGGGACAAAUCACACUGGUGACUGCUGUGAGCGCCCUUGAGCAGGCCUGGCCUUCUCAGCUCAGCUGCGGGAGGCAGGACGGGUGGGAGGAGCCAGUGAAGGGCACUCAGGAACCCACUGGAUUGUUUUGGUGACUUCUGAAUUAUUUCAAACGAUCGAAACAGUAACCAAGCCGGGCCUGGUGCUGCAGGCCUAGAAUCUCAGCACUCAGGAGGCUGAGGCAGGAGGAUCGCUGCCAGUUUGAGGCCAGCCUGGGCUGUGUAGCCAAACCCCGUCUCAGAGGCAGACAGAGCCAUGGCAGUGAGCCCACUAGGUCUGCUGUGGGUCCUGAGAGGCCUUGGUCUCGGCCCCACCCCCACGCAGGGUGGGUAAACUGAGGCUCGGGGUUGCCACAACCACAGGUUAAGUGUUGGACUUCAGCCAUGAGGCGUAGCAUCCGUUUGCUCCCUAAGGGUCACCAGGUUUUUCUUGCUGGGUUUCUGAGACAGGGUCUCGGCGACCCUCCUGCCUCAGCCUCCCGGGUGUCAGGUGACAGGCGUGCGUCACGAGUCUGCUGCAGGGAGAGCGUGUGAGGGCUUCCGGCCUGCACGGGAGCGGCUGGGCCUCCACAGCACGUCAGCCGCGUGCACCUCUGCAGAGGCACCGGGCUUCGGGGAGGCGGAGAGUGUCGCUUCCAGGGAGCCCACUCUGUGCCCAGCUCAGACCUCGGCUGCCCCGGUCCCAGGCCAGGCACAGCUGGCAGCGGUGACUCCACAGUUCUCUGGCGGUGUGAUUUUAAAACCCAGCCCAGCCUUGGUUUUAAGUGAAAGGCGAAGCCGACUUUGGUUUAAGUCUUAAAAGAUAGUUCAGCCGGGCGUGGUGCUGCACGCCUGGAGUCCCAGCACUCGUGAGGCUGAGGCAGGAGGAUCGCCAAGAGUUCAAGGCCUGCCUGGGCUGCACACAAAGCACACGCGUGCUUGGGCCAGGCAGGCCUGGGGAUCCCGGCCGCUCUGCGCUGCCCUGGACACCUUCAGGGGACAGAAGAGCCGAUCUGGGGGCAAAACGGGCGCUUCCUAGCAGGGCUGGCAGAGCUGUUUGUUUUAUUUUGCUUCAUUUUUAAAAUGCAGUUGUCAUCGAAUUUACAGCCCAGGCUCAAGGGAGGGAGAUGGGGCACACUUUUUCUGGGAGCAUUUUUUAAGUUUCACAACAGCGGGAUUCUGGGAGGCUCUGGUGUGUGAUCUUCCAAGUGGACGCUUGUGCAGGCAAAAGCGUGCACUUCCUGCCAGGAGGGAAGUGCUGGAAGUACUCGUCUGCCAAGGCGUUCUCACAGGUAGUCCCUGGACCGUGUGCAGCGCCUGUUGGAUAUUGCUUUGUACAGCUCUAGCACUGUGGUUGCAGGACCCAUUUCUCGUCUUGCACACUGUUAGUAUCACUGGAGUUUGGGGACAAGGUCUCACUUUGUCGCCAGGGUGGGCUGGAACUCACAGCCAUCCUCCUGCCUCAGCCUCCCGAGCGCUGGCAGGACAGUUGCGUCCCUCUGAGGGACUCAUUGCUGUGAGUCCCCUGCAAGAGGAGGAGGUGCCGUGGGUCCGUCUGACGCUUGCAGAUGCAGUCACACAUUUGUAGCUUUGAUUCAGUCUCAUGAGAUCAGCGUUUUUGACAAAGGAAUUCAAUUCAGACAAGGAACAAAUAUGUGGCCAGAUCAUGUUGUUUCCAUGAUGUUCUUCUCAGCUAAACAACAACAAAAGCGCGAGAUGAUUUCUUUUAAUUCAAUAACAAGUUUCAAUUUAGUCCUGACUGCACUGAGUCAAGGCUCCCAGACUGCUGCGUUCAAUCAAGGGUGCCGCGUUUGGCGAGCAAGUCUCUCAGAAGAGCAUUGUGCAGUGCAGCGAGUUUGCUGCACAUUUGUUCAUGACCCAGAUUCUUUCUGUUUGUUGUGUUGAGACAGGAUCUUGCUGUGUAGUCCGGGUUGGCCUCGAACUCACAGCGCUCCUUGUGCCUCAGCCUCCAGAGUGCUGGCAUGGCAGGUGUGCGCCACCACACCGGGGCCUAGCUGGUUGAUUGUGACCGGGAUUCAAAGCCAAGCCGCCCGUGCCAGAGCCCGGCCCUGACCACCACGCUGGGCGGGUGUGGCGGCUGUGGGGCUGGGGCCCUGCAGGCCCGGGCCGCCUCGCACCCGCGUUUCCCGGCCGGAACCCAGGUUCCAUGCUGCCGUCGCUUCACCUCCUUGCGCCUGACCUGCAUUCAUCCGCACCUCCGCUCCCAGCCCGGACGCAGCCGCUCUGUCCCCCGAUAAUACGCACGCUGGAAAAUUUUAACAGUAUUUCAGUUGCAAAUAGAUGGAAAUUGUGUGUUCUGUUUAAUGCGAGGCAGAAAAUCCUGCCAUUUUUUCCCUUUAAAUACAAGAAAACAGGCGUGUAAUGCGGCAUUGAGGACGCCCGCCGGGGCCCUUUGUGCUGGGCUUAAUUAGGGGCUCGGGAAGGGGCGGCCCGACCGGCGGCCGCAGAGCAUUUGUCCAUUGGGGCCUGAAGGACACUUUUGUCUGUGACUAACAGAGGUGAAAGAAGCCAAUUAUUGGGCCGCUCUGCCUGGCGCAGCUGGCGGGGUGGGACAGCCGCUCCCUGCCCCGGGCCUGGCUCCGCUGUGGCACCUCGGCCCUGCCCGGCGCGCGGCUGUCACCUGCUGCGGCCUUUCCGUGUUUUAAUUUUCUUAAAGCCCUCAUAGCGCAUUACACUCGCCAAGUAACUGGCUUUGUGUUGCGUGUGUCUUUGUUUUUGUUUGUUUGAGACAGGCUGGCCUUAAAGUCAUUUGAACAUUUCUAAGUCUUCUCUGUUGUCUUAAGUGAAGUACAGGUGUCUGUCUGGAGACAAGAUAUCACUGUGUAGUCCAGCCUGGCCUGGAACUCACAGGGAUCCUCCUGCCUCAGCCUCCCGAAUGCUGGGACUACAUAGCAAGAUCUUGUCUCAAAUAACAAUAAUAAUGAUUAAAAUGCCCCAUGUAUGUACGGGUUCCCCUAGAUGCUUAUAAUUAUUGUGCAAUGCAAAGGUAUGCCAGUAAAAAUACACAUUCUCCGAGGCAGGAGAAGUCCAAACCAGAAUCCUUCCCCCACGCAAGGUGCGCAUAAAGCUCUCACAAACUGCAAAGACCUCUAGGGAGACACCUCUAGCAGACAAAGCUCGAGGUGGGUGGGGAUUAUUUGCACGGACUUCACUGUCGGCUGGGAGGUGCCCAUCCGAGGGAUGAAACUGCGGACAGGGCAGUGGCAGGGGAGUGUGCGUAUUAAAAUACUGUUUCCUAGGGUCUCAGCAAGGGUGCUCCGCUACUUUAUUAUGUUUUGGUUUUUGAGACAGGGUCUCGCCCUGUAGCCCAGGCUGGCCUCACACUUACUUGGAUCGUCCUGCCUCAGCCUCCCCGAGUGCUGGGAUCACAAAGGUGUGAGCCCCCACACCCGGCUCCCCCUGAUGAGCACCUUGCACAAAGUGCCUUUUAUGGUGCUAGAUUGCUCUCGGUGAUCGCUUGUAGGCAGCUUUAAACUUCUGACCACACCAGGACGUAGCGUGUCACAGGUUUGCCCAUCAUGCUCGGAGGAUUAUGAUUUCUUUUCAAAAUAGCAAUUUAUUUAAAAACAAAACAGAACCACCCUGGCUCAGCAGUGGUGUGUGUCGGCUCUCUGUAAGGAAGAAAUGACCAAGACGCAGAGCAGGCCUCAGCAUGGUGGCUGUAGCAAUGUGGAGCUGCCUCAGUAUCGGGGACAGCGCAGAACCGGCAUACAGGGGCCCGGAUGAAGCCACCAAGCCCAGCAGGCACGUGGCCAGCUGCCAGUGUCCCCAGCGCCCCUAAGACUUGGCCCUGCUCUGCGGCCACCCUGCUGUUCCCCAAAACCUGAUUUCGCACCUCUGUCCCCGCCUGCUCUCCAGGUCUCCUUCCCUCUCCUUGGGCGCAGCUCUGGACGCUGCCUGCCCGCGUGGCUCUCGCCCAGCCGUCCUGGCUGCCUUGACGGGCGUCCCCAGGCACUGCGUACUCAUUCACCCCGGGGAGGAGCCAGGAGUCACAGGGUCGUGGCUGGAGGCCGGGGCAGCUGAGGGCUGGCGUGGGGUUCUCACCAGCCUGGCUUUCUGUGGGGGGCACCUGGCAGCGGCCAUCACCGUAUUUACGAUGGCACCUCAGAAAGACACUGUGGAAAGGGGGCUCUGUAGCUGGCGCAGAAAGUGGCGAGACCAUGGGAUGAGUUUGAAGCCAGUGACCCUGUCCUGAGGGGCAUUCGUGGCAAUGCAUCUUUCACUGUAUUAAUUUUAAAGAUUUGAGCACCACAUUUUCCAUCAGGCCUGUACAUGGUGGAGAAGACAGGAACAAAUAUACGAAACACAUCCUUCACUUCCAAUCAAACCAAGGUAGCUCCCAGCCUUACAGGACAGAUCUCCUGGGUAAGUGAGUGAUCUGGAAGCUUUUCAUUUUUCUUCCUUUUGAGACAGGGUCUCAUUAUGUCGUUCAGGAGGAUCUCUGUGAGUUCCAGGCCAGCCUGGAUCACAUAUCGAGACCUUGUCUCAAAAAGCCAAUGAAAACCAAAAAAGGAGGCGCUCUGACAGGCGGGGCGGUGGCCCCGUUUGCGUGGGUUGGAGUGGCCUGGUCGCAUCAGCACCCGAAGGCGUCUGUCUCAGGACCUGGGCCCCGGACUGCUUUUCUGCGCAGCACCUCAGGGUGCCGGUCCCUCUGCCGGCAGCAGGGCCGUGGGUGCUGCGAGCGAGCAGGCGAUCUCAGGAGGGAAGCAGAGGGGUCGCUGGGGGUCCAGCAGCCCGGGAGGCUGGAGGGCAGGAUGGCCAGUGGGGACCGGGAGGGCCGGCCCAGGCUGCCACACCCGUGGCGACCCUCCUGCCUCAGCCUCCCGGCGCGGCGCAGUAUUUUCCCGGUAACAGCUCCGGAGUUCAGGGUGAGGCUGCAGUGGCCCGGAGAGCUGCGCUCCGCUAGGCGGGGUGUUUUCGGGGUGCCGUCUCCCCGACUCGGCGCGCGAUUCUGAGCGGCCCCGGGUCACAGCGAGCCCUGGGCGGGCGGCCGGCCCGGGUUCUGCCCCAUCCCUGGGUCGGUGACGUCACCGCAGGCCGGGCGCCGCGGAGUCGGAGGAGCCGCAGC